rnacentral:rRNA from 1 species
GAUGAACGCUGGCGGCGUGCCUAAUACAUGCAAGUCGAGCGAACGGACGAGAAGCUUGCUUCUCUGAUGUUAGCGGCGGACGGGUGAGUAACACGUGGAUAACCUACCUAUAAGACUGGGAUAACUUCGGGAAACCGGAGCUAAUACCGGAUAAUAUUUUGAACCGCAUGGUUCAAAAGUGAAAGACGGUCUUGCUGUCACUUAUAGAUGGAUCCGCGCUGCAUUAGCUAGUUGGUAAGGUAACGGCUUACCAAGGCAACGAUGCAUAGCCGACCUGAGAGGGUGAUAGGCCACACUGGAACUGAGACACGGUCCAGACUCCUACGGGAGGCAGCAGUAGGGAAUCGUCCGCAAUGGGCGAAAGCCUGACGGAGCAACGCCGAGUGAGUGAUGAAGGUCUUCGGAUCGUAAAACUCUGUUAUUAGGGAAGAACAUAUGUGUAAGUAACUGUGCACAUCUUGACGGUACCUAAUCAGAAAGCCACGGCUAACUACGUG